CCUACGGGAGGCUGCAGUGGGGAAUAUUGCACAAUGGGGGGAACCCUGAUGCAGCGACGCCGCGUGGGUGAAGGAGUAUUUCGGUAUGUAAAGCCCUAUCAGCAGGGAAGAACAAUGACGGUACCUGACCAAGAAGCACCGGCUAAAUACGUGCCAGCAGCAGCGGUAAUACGUAUGGUGCAAGCGUUACCCGGAUUUACUGGGUGGAAGGGGUGCGCAGGCGGCGCGUUAAGCCUGGUGUGAAAGCCCGCGGCCCAACCGCGGGACUGCAUUGGGAACUGGCGCGCUGGAGUGCCGGAGGGGUAGGCGGAAUUCCUAGUGUAGCGGUGAAAUGCGUAGAUAUUAGGAGGAACACCAGUGGCGAAGGCGGCCUACUGGACGGUGACUGACGCUGAGGCUCGAAAGCGUGGGGAGCAAACAGGAUUAGAUACCCUUGUAGUC
rnacentral:rRNA from 1 species